GAAGCCCCCGACCAAGCUCCGCCGGACGGUGCUGUCCGAGAGACCAUCCUUCAUGCAGGAAUUGCCCCUCCAGCUGACGCCGUUGUGCUUGGGCAGCGGACCAGCUGAAAUCGCAGAUAACACAUCGUCAGUCAGCACUCAGCAGAUCAGAGUGAGAUACAGUAGUGAUUUAUUUUCUCCCCACGUGGGACCUGGCUCUAAAUCUUAACCAGGCCAGCAUAAGCCCAUCAACCAAACAGACCCUAUGUCUGCUUGAAAAGGUCAGUCAGAUCUUGAGCACCCAAGGCAUGCUAAAUGUAGAAACGUAGAAUUACAUAUGUGGCAGGUACCAACUCAUGCACAGAAAGGCAAGAAAUGGCAUGGCAAACAUCUCCAGCCACCGAAUCGUCUGCAUGUCUACGCAGAACCGGGAUCUGAUGGUCGAAUUCAGCGAGACGAUGAACGGAGGAAGGAAAGAACAGGGCAGCAAAAGGAGAAAAAAAAAGGAAAAGGUGAACUCAGCGAGAAGAAGGUGAACUCACAUCGCUGGGCGUUGAAGAACAUGAGCGCCUUGUGCAGCGCCUGCGUGUACUGGUCGGGCGGCGGCGGCGGCGGGCGCUUGUGCGGUACGAGCUUGACGAUCAUCA